rnacentral:misc_RNA from 1 species
AAAUAAUCAGGGUAAAGUAAUGAUGGGUUGGGAGAGAGAUAAGGAGCUGCUCCAAUGUUUUCAUAUCUUUCGUUGUUGACCACGCUGUUGAGGGCGAUCUCAUGGUUCUACUUAGCUCUGUUGGAUGCUAUGAUGUAAUUCUUUAUUGACUGUAUACCUUUUAAUAUCAUAGUGGCUGGCUGUUUAGAUUGAAAUGCCCAUCUUUUUUAACUGCAUGUUUAUUGUUUCUAAACUAAGCUAAUAGGAUCAUGGUUAACAAAUCUGAACUAGAGACAAAUAUUAAAUAUUAUUUUCUCACCAUGCCUUGUAGCUGCUUCAGUUUUUUAUGGCAUUGGAAGUUGCAUUGGGUAGAGAAGGGUGAUUUCCAGUAUAAAAU